AGAGUUUGAUCAUGGCUCAGAUUGAACGCUGGCGGCAGGCCUAACACAUGCAAGUCGAACGGUAACAGGAAGCAGCUUGCUGUUUUGCUGACGAGUGGCGGACGGGUGAGUAAUGUCUGGGAAACUGCCUGAUGGAGGGGGAUAACUACUGGAAACGGUAGCUAAUACCGCAUAACGUCGCAAGACCAAAGAGGGGGACCUUAGGGCCUCUUGCCAUCGGAUGUGCCCAGAUGGGAUUAGCUGGUAGGUGGGGUAAAGGCUCACCUAGGCGACGAUCCCUAGCUGGUCUGAGAGGAUGACCAGCCACACUGGAACUGAGACACGGUCCAGACUCCUACGGGAGGCAGCAGUGGGGAAUAUUGCACAAUGGGCGCAAGCCUGAUGCAGCCAUGCCGCGUGUAUGAAGAAGGCCUUCGGGUUGUAAAGUACUUUCAGCGGGGAGGAAGGGAGUAAAGUUAAUACCUUUGCUCAUUGACGUUACCCGCAGAAGAAGCACCGGCUAACUCCGUGCCAGCAGCCGCGGUAAUACGGAGGGUGCAAGCGUUAAUCGGAAUUACUGGGCGUAAAGCGCACGCAGGCGGUUUGUUAAGUCAGAUGUGAAAUCCCCGGGCUCAACCUGGGAACUGCAUCUGAUACUGGCAAGCUUGAGUCUCGUAGAGGGGGGUAGAAUUCCAGGUGUAGCGGUGAAAUGCGUAGAGAUCUGGAGGAAUACCGGUGGCGAAGGCGGCCCCCUGGACGAAGACUGACGCUCAGGUGCGAAAGCGUGGGGAGCAAACAGGAUUAGAUACCCUGGUAGUCCACGCCGUAAACGAUGUCGACUUGGAGGUUGUGCCCUUGAGGCGUGGCUUCCGGAGCUAACGCGUUAAGUCGACCGCCUGGGGAGUACGGCCGCAAGGUUAAAACUCAAAUGAAUUGACGGGGGCCCGCACAAGCGGUGGAGCAUGUGGUUUAAUUCGAUGCAACGCGAAGAACCUUACCUGGUCUUGACAUCCACGGAAGUUUUCAGAGAUGAGAAUGUGCCUUCGGGAACCGUGAGACAGGUGCUGCAUGGCUGUCGUCAGCUCGUGUUGUGAAAUGUUGGGUUAAGUCCCGCAACGAGCGCAACCCUUAUCCUUUGUUGCCAGCGGUCCGGCCGGGAACUCAAAGGAGACUGCCAGUGAUAAACUGGAGGAAGGUGGGGAUGACGUCAAGUCAUCAUGGCCCUUACGACCAGGGCUACACACGUGCUACAAUGGCGCAUACAAAGAGAAGCGACCUCGCGAGAGCAAGCGGACCUCAUAAAGUGCGUCGUAGUCCGGAUUGGAGUCUGCAACUCGACUCCAUGAAGUCGGAAUCGCUAGUAAUCGUGGAUCAGAAUGCCACGGUGAAUACGUUCCCGGGCCUUGUACACACCGCCCGUCACACCAUGGGAGUGGGUUGCAAAAGAAGUAGGUAGCUUAACCUUCGGGAGGGCGCUUACCACUUUGUGAUUCAUGACUGGGGUGAAGUCGUAACAAGGUAACCGUAGGGGAACCUGCGGUUGGAUCACCU
rnacentral:rRNA from 2 species